GGGCCCGCACAAGCGGAGGAACAUGUGGUUUAAUUCGAUGAUACGCGAGGAACCUUACCCGGGCUUGAAAUUGGGAGGAAUGCGGAGGAAACUCUGCAGUCAGCAAUGACCUUUCAGUAGGUGCUGCAUGGUUGUCGUCAGCUCGUGCCGUGAGGUGUCGGCUUAAGUGCCAUAACGAGCGCAACCCACAUUGUCAGUUACCAUCGGGUAAAGCCGGGGACUCUGACAAGACUGCCGGCGUAAGCUGUGAGGAAGGUGUGGAUGACGUCAAAUCAGCACGGCCCUUACGUCCGGGGCGACACACGUGUUACAAUGGGGGGUACAGCGGGCAGCAACCUGGCGACAGGGAGCCAAUCCCGAAAACCCUUCUCAGUUCGGAUCGGAGUCUGCUAACCCGACUCCGUGAAGCUGGAUUCGCUAGUAAUCGCGCAUCAGCCAUGGCG
rnacentral:rRNA from 1 species